UGUGUGCAAUAGUUAGAAUAUGCAACAUUUUUAUCAGCUUCGGGUUGUCUGUUGUAAUUUAGGUGUAACCAUGUCUUUUCAGCCCCCUGAAUUAGCAGGACAAAGGGAGAAAAGUGCCGCAAGAAUUUUACCAUUCAGCUGUUAGCUUCCCUCUGUUCUCUGCUAAUGCACUUGAAGCCUUGCCUACAGUAAGUGCAGGAGGACCACGGAGAAGGCUUUCCAUUCUCUUGCUUUGUGAAGCCUUUCCAGUCCAGCAACUUCUAAGAGCAUUUUAAAAUGUAUUCUUCCUCGACAAGUGCCUCUGUUUACAGUAGAGCUUUCAAGAGCUGACAGGGGGUAAAACAAGCUUUCUUUUGCUGUGGAACCAGAGCCUGGGAGAGCAAAUGUGGGAAGAUUUCUGCCAAUAUUUCCAAGCAAGCUGGACAGGCAUCCUCGGGGUGUAUAGAACAUCUACUCUGUUGCUUUGCUUUUUCCUAUUGCACCUGUCUGUUAUACUGAAGGACAACCAUCCCAGUUCAGUUCAGCAGUAAGGCUGGCAAGGAGACUACUUGCUGCCGGCCAAAGACUUGAUCAAAGUGGACAGAUGUGGGGUCACAAGGAACAUUAUACACCAUUCAUCUCUGAAGCUUCCAUUUAGUCUUUGGAGACAACUCGGGCUUCUUCAACUCUUCUUCAGUUCUUUCCAGAUUUUGCUCAGAAUCAGACAGAAUUCUUUGAUGGAUAUUGGCUUGCAUCCAUGUAGAGCGCACAGAAAACUUAAUUUGUCUCAUCAAACAAAGAGGACAUCAACAAGAACAUCAUCAAACAAGAUCAACCUACUAACAUUAUUUUUAUUCUCCAUUACUAUCCCUAAUUGAGGUAUAAGAAGUUACUGAAUUCAUAAAUGCUGUAUUAAACAAUAACAAUACAUAUAUAUAUGAGCACAGAUUGACUAACUUUUGCAUUCAUGUUACUUGAAAUGAUGAUAUUUAAGCAUUAAGAAUGCUUUGUUGUUGUUUCAUACUCCUGAUAUUUUGAAGGGAGGUGAUUUCUGGUUAUAGCUUGUGUUAAUUUUGAAGGUAAUCAGCUUACCAAUUUACCAUCAAACCAAAACACCUGCUCUUCAUCCAUUUAAAAUCCCUUAGGAGGGAUAUUUCUGUUGCAUAAACGAGAAAAACCAGCCCAACACUAUCUUACAGUAGGGUUUUCUGUUUAAAACACUGAAAGCUCAGUCCAGAAAUAUAGUUGUCACAGAACUCAG
rnacentral:lncRNA from 1 species